rnacentral:tRNA from 1 species
GCCGGCGUGGCGGAAUUGGUAGACGCGCACGACUCAAACUCGUGUUCCGAAAGGAGUAUCGGUUCGACUCCGAUCGCCGGUA